CACACCUAUAGCCCCUCCCAUUGGUGGAGUAUGUUUCAUAGCAGUACACAGAAGUCCCAUUGGCUUUUCCAGCACAGACAGCAGCUUACCCGCCAAAGAGCAGAAACCAAUGCAUCUUUCUGUCGCAAAUACUCAGAUGCUGCUAUCAGCAAAGAAUGUCAGUUCCUGACCCCCACAGAAGAAGAAUCAGUCUGCCUCUAUUACAUGAAAAAACUUUUUGAAUUUUGCAACGUGUUCCGGCCUCCGGUCCCUAGAGGGGUUCUGGGUACAGCUGGGGCAUAUUUCAAACGUUUCUAUCUCCUCACUUCAGUAAUGGACUAUCAUCCGAAAGAAAUAUUUUUGUCCUGUGCGUAUUUGGCAUUUAAGAUUGAGGAGUACAAUGUGUCACUUGACGAGUUUGUCUACAUGCUAUCUCCGGAAUUACGUCAGUCCAGCUCUGAGAUGAUACUCAAUAAUGAAUUAAUGAUGCUGAAAAGGCUCAAGUUUCACUUGACGAUUCAUUCACCUUUUAGACCACUGGAAGGAUUCUUGAUUGAUAUGAAGACGAGGUCCUCUAUUCCUAAUGUGGAGCGUCUCCGUAAAGAAGCAGACUCAUUCCUAAUGAGUAGCUUAUACUCUGAUGUUUUAUUUCUAUAUCCACCAUCACAAAUAGCUUUGGCUGCUUUAUACUAUGCUUCUACUGUCAUUGAAGUGGAUAUAUCAAGUUAUAUAAAGGUGCAGCUUGCUGAUACGAUUGAGCAAGGAUCUAAACUAGCCUAUACACUGCAAGGGAUUUGUGAUAUUGUAAGAACUGUUUUCGUGCCAGAGUCGUCUCAAGAGCCCACAUUUUACAAAGACUGGAAAAAUGUUCUAGAGUAGUGCUUGUCUCUCCUCCGACCAACAGCAAGAGAAAAAGUGAUGAAGUAUCUGAAGUAGUAUUAAGGAAGAAAAUUAAGGAGGAGCAUGACGUAGAAGAAACUGG
rnacentral:misc_RNA from 1 species